GAAAACACAAUGGCUAUGGCUUCCAAAACCUUCAUAGAAUGUGAAAAAAUUCAGCCUGAAACUCGAACAUCUUGGAUUGUCUGUCUCUCCAAUGGUCAUCUAGACCAAGUCCUUAACUACGGAACAAAACUUACUUUUAUCAGAGGAGGUGGACAACCCACGCACACGAUGGAAAAACUUUUAAUCAGAUGCAGUCGCGACGUUUCCUUGGCACAGUUUAAUUAUUAAACAGCUUUAGGCGUAUAACUGCAGAGGGAUUCCCUCAUUCACUUUUGAUAUUGUUUUCCCUUCCUUGAGGGCGGAGCCUGAGUCUGGAAUUCCCACUCACUCUGUGAGUGAGUGGGAAGGCAGCAGCUAUAAGGCACCUGCCUAUAAUUAGAGGUAUCACAGUUGCAUCCCGAGCAGAAAGAUGGCAGAGCUGGAGGAGAGAAUGAUCAAAGAGAUUCACACAUUGGGUCAAGCUGCUCCUGGUUCUAGUAGAACCAAGCAAUGCUUGAAGAUUGUGGGUGUGUUGGCUGGACUGCUCGCUGUGGUUAUGGUGGCGGUGCUCAUCAACUACGGUUUAAACUACUCAUCCUGCAAACAGGUAGGAAAAAAAUCGAGCUCAUUAAAGUAAACACUUCUGGUGCUUUCUCUAUAUUCACAUGUGUUCAUAAUGGAUCUACCUGUUUACAGGACCAUUCAUCUGCUAAGUGUUAUCCUCAAAUAGUCAAGUUCAAUUACAAGUUCAAUCAGAGUGGUGUCGACAGAACGUAUGACAUAUUCCAAGCUGAAAAAGGUUGCAAGUAUAGCCUCUUUGGAUGGGUGACAUUCCCAUCCGCAGAAAAGGUUACAAGCAAAUCUGUUUUACUCUGGCAGAGAAGUGGAGAUCAAUUCGCUCCGUUUGAAGAGGGGCUUGUUAAGCAAGAAAAAAUUGUCUUCUUCGAAAACGGCCUGUUGGCUCAAAACACAAAGUUAGAACUUCACUUUAAUGAUGAAAACAUAACUUUUACUGACAUCAGUUUUUAUAUUUAUAUACUGCCAUGAUAGGGAUUUCAAAGUGUUUCUACAAGACCUGUAAACUUCGGUUGAUGCACAGCUUAUGUAGGUUCCUCAUGUGCAAAUCCCGCUUCACUCAGGCAGCAGGUCUAAAAUCUUACAUUAAUGGACCAGAUUGAAACAAACCUGCAGUUUGAUGAGAUUAAUCCUGAAAAAUAGGGCUGUAGCUUAAAGGGUAUUUCACUAAUGGGUAAACAUAGAUGGCAACUCAUAAUGUGCUCCACUUUCAUGUCAGCACUCUCAUAUCAAAGUACGGACCACAAAGGGUGUUAAUCUCACUUUCACGAGGAAUAAAGAAGAUAUCAGACAGUCAUCUUCAUCUCUGGAGAUAAAUCCCUUUACCUGUGAAUUGACUUGAAGAGUAGUCAUACAUAAGGUUGUAAAGGGCCGUGAAAUCGGAUGAAACACUGUCAAAUGGGACCUAUGUCUAAUGUUUAAUUCUAAAAUGCUGUCCUUUAUUUUUCCUUUUGUCCUUUUUUAUUUGUCUUCUUCAACCAUAGCAAUAUAUUGUAUUUAUCAAAAUGUUGAUUAUUUAAAAAAAUGUCUGAAAAAAAUCUGCUGUAAAGCUUUGAGUAUAUUGGAUGUGGCCUAAUUUAUAGUGUUGCGCCGAUGCCUUUUUUUGGACCCGAUACCUGGCUGUGCAGUACCAGCCGAUACAGAUACCAUCCGUUUGAAAUUUAUGUGUGUGUUUAUAUGAAGAACUGCAUACUACUGGGAUGUAAAAUAAUUGCCAUCAUGGCUUUGUCAAGCUGCUGCCUGCCUUUGAGACGCAGGAAAAGGACAAAUACAAAGAGAAUCCAGUAGAACUACCAUUUUAGUGCUGGAUCAGGGCACCACCUGUUUUGGU